GUCGCGGGCUGGACGGGCACGCGGUCGGCGUUCUGGAGCGGCGGCCUGCUGUGCGUGGCGGCGGUCGCGGCCCUGUCCGUGACGC
rnacentral:tRNA from 1 species